CCUCACAUCAAGAGCCCUGAAAUGCCACCACCCAAGAAACGCAGACAACGGCCUUUGGUGGAAAUGCCGGAAGAAGUCGGCGCUAUGAGGCCUUCCUCCCAAGGUAAAGCUGCAAAGAAGAAAAAACCCUGGCAGCCGACAGAGGUCCAGGCAGUCGAGAGGCACAUGACUCGCUUCAUCACCUCUUGCAUUGUACCUGGGAAGAGUGAUUGUGAGAAAUGUUUAAGGGUUGAACCAGAAGCACUACAGAACCGGGAUUGGCAGAACCUUAAAUUCUACAUUCAUAACCGAAUUAAGUCCUACAAAAAGAAGUGGCAAUGAAAAUAGUUUAUACAUUGCAUGUAUAAUGUAUAAUAUUAUACAUUAUACAUGUAUAAUAAUUUUUAAUUAUUAUACAUGUAUAUAUAUCCACGUAAUUUAAACAUGAGUCUGAAAGAAGUUUAAUUAUUAUAGAUUUAAAUUUCAGGUAGUCGUUCAGUACUAUCAUUUUGCUCAGAAAGGCCAAAAAGGGCAUAAUUUUAAAAGAAUAUGGUGACGUUUCUACCUUGAUUCUGUAUUUCUAGAUGCUUUGUAUCCAACAAAUCUUGUUGAAGGGCCAAUAAAAGCCCAAAAAUGAGUGAGACCUCAAUAAAAGUUUACUUUUGCAAUUUAAA